rnacentral:rRNA from 1 species
UUUUUGAAUAAUAAUUUAAAGUAGGGCCUGCCCMCUGAGUAUUUGAAGGGCCGCAGUAUAUUGACUGUGCAAAGGUAGCAUAAUCAUUAGUUUUUUAAUUGAAAGCUAGAAUGAAGGGUUUGAUGAGAAAAUAACUUUCUAUAAUUGAAUUUUAAAAACUUUAUUUUUAAGUAAAAAAGCUUAAAUUUUUAUAAUAGACGAGAAGACCCUAUAGAGUUUUAUUUUUUAUAGAAUUUAAUUUUUUAGAAUUUAAAUAUUUUUAUUUUAUGAAAAAUUUGAUUGGGGUGAUUAAAAAAUUAAAAAAACUUUUUUAUUAUAAUUACAUUAAUUUAUGAAAACUUGAUCCAUUAAAAUGAUUAUAAGAUUAAAUUACCUUAGGGAUAACAGCGUUAUUUUUUUUUAGAGUUCUAAUCGAAAAAAAAGAUUGCGACCUCGAUGUUGGAUUAAAGUUAAUUUUAGGUGUAGAAGCUUGAAUAUUUGGUCUGUUCGACCAUUAAAACUUUACA